AUAAAAUUAGGGAUUGCCCCCGUUAGAUCCUGUGCACUGGGGAAAAGAGAGCUUCAAGAACGGAAAUGUCUUGACUUAAGUCGCAGGUCGAGGGCUGCUGUCACUCAGAGUGCUGCCUCUUCAGGGCUGAGCCUCGCUCAACACCUCACAAAGCUCUCUCUUGUAUCAUCUGAGACAGUGACUUUGUGAGGCAGAAAUGGAGAUUUUAUCAAUCGUUUUUGUUGUUUUGAAUAAGUGGAAAAGCUGAGACCCAGAAAAAGCACAGAUGUGAUUUUGAAAUAAAUACUUCACUUCCAAUCAUACGGUUAUUCGUCAAGGUCUGUUUUGUUUCGAAUUCCCUAUGAGCAGAGCCCAAGAGUGGGUCACGUCUGUUGAGGACAUGCUCUGAAACACCGCCCUCCCAGAAGGAGGCAGUCUGAGCAGAAGCACCUGGUUAGCCAAUUCUAGCUUCCAUGUCCAUCAGCUGUGUGCUGGAAGUGGAGAGUGGCGUGGCUUUUUUCUUCCAGAUGUUGGGCAGGUACUUCCAGGUGUGGAGAUUUUACAGCAAGAACUUUAAGGCAAAAGUACUGUCCUUGUACUGUACAUAUCUUUGUGUGUUGUGGGAUGGAAGAGUGAGGCAGAGAAUUGGAGAUCGUUCAACCUUGUCUUGUAUCAGCGGGUGAUGGAGAUGCUAGCAGAAUAGAAGAAUCUUUGAAUGACGGUAUUCCUGGGAUGAACAGGGAUCACCCUGAGAAGGUACUGAGCAUCAUCACCCUUGGAAGGUACUCAGCAGCAUCACCCUGAGAAGAGCUGUGAUGAACUCUGGAACUACUCAGCUCGUCCGGAGCUCUGAGAAGGCCAGGCUGUCCAAGGGGAAGAUGCAUUUGCAGCUCACCUUCGGCUUGAUUGUUUCCCAGCCAGCCGAUUUGCUUUAACAGAGUGGUAAACUCCCCCGGCGAACAAUGGACAGGGAAUGACAGAAAUGCUCAACUGGAUUUGAAGAUACUGUUUAUGAACUUGAGACACAUACACUUCUGUUGUAGUUUCCUGAACUCUAGAUUUGGGGAAUCAGAUUUCUGUGCAUGGUGCUAGGGCCUUUCGGUAGCCACUUAAACGUGAAUGCAGAGUGUGCCUCCACUAGACACCCAGGCAGCAGACUGUACUGGUUGAGUUGGGGUUGGCACCUGUUAGUAUAGCUCUUGGGCUCUUCUGGUGGCAGCUGAGAAGUGCCCUGGGAGAAGCCCCAUUAAGACCCAUCUGAAA